rnacentral:misc_RNA from 1 species
UAAAAAUCUUAUCAAAGAGUUAGAGCUCCCCGUGCCUGAUUGGAACGAGAAAUGGAUUGAUGUCUAUUUGGACAUCAGUGUAAAAUUGCUCGAUAUCUGUAAUGCUGUUAGCUCAGAGCUAUCACACUUGAACCAAAGCAACCUCAUGCUCCGAUGCAUCACCCAUAAUUUGGAUUCUGCUGAGUCAAAGCGACUUGCACGAGCUCGUGCUUCCUUAGAAGAAUGGAGACUGAACAUCAGCACCACAAGUCCUAGAAUUAAGAAUUGUUGUGUAAUCUUAGACAGCCUUGGAGAAUCACUUGAUCUUCCAAAAGUUAAGAACUCUGCCAAAGGCAAGGUUUUGAUGCGUGCUUUGUACGGGGUGAAGGUACAGACAGUUUUUGUGUGCAGUGUCUUUGCCUCAGCCUUUUUAGGCUCCCCAAAGCUCUUUGAUCUGGAUAUAGCCGAUACAUAUUCGUGGGGACAAACUUUCUCCUCCUUGCAAAAUGAUGUAAAUAGUGAAAUUAGAAGUAUAUACACACGUGGAAAGUUUACCCCUCUGAAGGAGCUUGAGGCUAUUGAUCAAUGUGUAGGCAAUCUCCAUCAAAUGAUCCCAAAGAAUCCAGAAGUUGAGGAAGUUCAACCGCUGAAGAACACCGUAUCAGAGUUGGGAGGAAAGGCAGAGAAACUAUCAGAAGGUCUACAUUUGCUGACAAAGGAAGUCGACAACUUUUUCCAGAUUGUUUUGGAAGGACGUGAUGCUUUGCUAUCAAACCUAAGGGGUCGUUAAAUCAUAUGGAGCCGAUCCAAGGAAUGAAACAGGCGAUCAGACGAUUACGGUGGAGCUAAACUUAAACCUGUGUACAGGGAUGGGUUGGUCUCUCUUGUGUUUCCACAGAAAUAUAUUAACUAACCAUAGUGUAGUGUAAUAAUGUAGUCAUUAGUUAUUUGCAAAUGUUUUUGGGUUGUAUUUCUAGUUACGGUGUCGUGUAAAAUUGAACUUUGAAAUGGAAAUGUGUAGUAUGGGGUUUCUAUGUUUG